rnacentral:rRNA from 1 species
AAGUUAAGCCCUCCAGCGCCGAUGGUACUUGGGGCGAGAGCCCCUGGGAGAGUAGGACAUCGCCGGGC